rnacentral:rRNA from 1 species
GAGUUUGAUCAUGGCUCAGAUUGAACGCUGGCGGCAGGCCUAACACAUGCAAGUCGAGCGGAUGACGGGAGCUUGCUCCUUGAUUCAGCGGCGGACGGGUGAGUAAUGCCUAGGAAUCUGCCUGGUAGUGGGGGACAACGUUUCGAAAGGAACGCUAAUACCGCAUACGUCCUACGGGAGAAAGCAGGGGACCUUCGGGCCUUGCGCUAUCAGAUGAGCCUAGGUCGGAUUAGCUAGUUGGUGGGGUAAUGGCUCACCAAGGCGACGAUCCGUAACUGGUCUGAGAGGAUGAUCAGUCACACUGGAACUGAGACACGGUCCAGACUCCUACGGGAGGCAGCAGUGGGGAAUAUUGGACAAUGGGGGCAACCCUGAUCCAGCCAUGCCGCGUGAGUGAAGAAGGCCUC